GGCCCCACCCCCGUUAAAGUUUCCGUGGCGGUCCAUUUUUGGGCUCCCCCACCUUCAGCUACGCGUUGGAUCACGCUGAAGAAGAAGAAGCUUUUCGUAGCACCCUCGGACACUCGACUCGCUCGCGCCACUCUGCUCGCUCAAGUUAGCGAACUUGAUAGUUUCUUGAAGGAAGCCGGCAAAAGAAAAAGCUCGCCACCAUGGACGCGAUCAAGAAGAAGAUGCAAGCGAUGAAGCUUGAGAAGGACAAUGCGAUGGACAAGGCGGAUGCCUGCGAGGGACAGGCAAAGGAGGCGAAUAUGCGCGCGGACAAGGUCCUCGAGGAGGUCAGCGAAUUGCAGAAGAAGCUGACUCAAGUGGAGGGCGACCUUGUGGCCAACAAACAAGCAUUGGAGCAAGCUAACAAGGACCUCGAAGAGAAAGAAAAAGCUCUGACCAACGCUGAAUCCGAGGUCGCCGCAUUGAAUCGCAAGGUACAGCUGAUCGAAGAGGACUUGGAAAGAUCCGAGGAACGAUUGAACACCGCUACCGCUAAAUUGGCUGAAGCUUCUCAAGCUGCUGACGAAUCCAGCCGUAUGUGCAAAGUAUUGGAAAACCGUGCACAGCAGGAUGAGGAGAGGAUGGAUCAGCUGACGAACCAGCUGAAAGAAGCGCGUCUCCUUGCUGAAGACGCUGAUGGAAAAUCUGAUGAAGUAUCACGGAAACUGGCCUUCGUUGAAGACGAGUUGGAAGUAGCUGAGGAUCGUGUCAAAUCCGGUGAAGCCAAGAUCAUGGAGUUGGAGGAAGAAUUGAAGGUCGUCGGUAACAGCUUGAAAUCAUUGGAAGUUUCCGAAGAGAAAGCUAAUCAACGAGUGGAAGAAUUCAAGCGUCAGCUCAAAACGUUGACGGUGAAACUAAAGGAGGCCGAAGCUCGCGCUGAAUUCGCUGAGAAAACAGUCAAGAAAUUGCAGAAGGAGGUCGACAGGCUCGAAGACGUAUUGCACCAGCAGAAGGAGAAACGCAAAACGAUUUGCGAAGAAUUGGACAAGACAUUCGCUGAGCUUUCUGGCUACUAAAUGAAAGCGAAUAUCACUCAUACUCGUUCUAAAAAGCUCUUCUUUAUUCCCUCACACGAAACAUUUCUGUCACGUUAAAAAAAGAUAUUGAUCCGCUUCAGCCACAUUUUAUUUAUUUUUCUUCCGCUGCUUCGGAAUUCUGCGUGUUUCAACUUUCUACUCUUAACAAAUUAUUUUUCUUUUUGUUCAUACAAGAGGAGAAAGAUACAAAUGCAUUCUAUGUUCUUUCGCUUUUCUCUCGUGUUUGUCAGGCUGAAUCUCGUUCGCUAUUCAUCUCAACAUUUUUCUAAUACUUUAUUUAUUUAUUUUUCCCUCGAAUCAAUGUUCGCCCCUUGUCUCGUUGGAAUUCGGGUGCGCUUCGCUUAGUUUUGUGAGAACACAAAUUAAUUAGUAAUCGUCGUUCACGUUGAGCAUUGUUUAUUAAUAUUCGCGUAAAAGAACACACACUUAACAGAAUGAAACAAAAUGACAAAAAAUAAAAAAAUAAAAAAAUAAAAAAAGCUUCGCACGUUUAUGUGGGCCGUCGUACGUCAGGUACAUUUGACAACCCCUCGCAAAAACUGUUUGCCUUACACUUGUGCAAAGACGAGCUGGGCAUCAACAAGGACAGAUACAAGUCUCUCGCCGACGAGAUGGACUCCACGUUCGCCGAAUUGGCGGGAUACUAAAUUAUUUGGUCCUUUUACGCUUCGUAUAUUAAUUACAACGCCGUGCGUGGGGAUUGAGCUACGAUGUUUUGCAUAAAGGACUCUCUAGAACACGACCUAUCGUUGCGAGAUCGGCGAACGAAGCACGGCCGAAACACUGUGGACACCGCGGGAAUCGGACAUUAUUUAUCGAAAUUGCACUAUUGUUACCGCGACAAUGAUGGUCAAAUGUACAGGGAUCCGUGAGGAAUUUAACUCUGUUAAAUCGUUGUACGAAAUAUUACACCAGACCCAAUAAACUGCUGUAAUGUGGUAUGCGUUACUAAUUAUACAGGCUUUUAUAGUAGAA